GUAUCGUAAUAUUUGAUAAUUUAUGGCAAGCAGAAUGGUCAACUACUCCAUGAUUGCUUUGAAGUAGCUCGGCAUUUGGCGCUUAAAUCACAAAUUUCCUCACUGUGCCUGAUUAGAUAAGGUGCACUAUUGGCACAUCAAAAUAUUGUAACACAAAUUGGCGCACAAAUUUUUAUGAAAAUAAAUAAAACUCACAAAAAGCAACUACUCUGCUGAUUAGCCGUAAAUAAUUCGCUAUGACAAUAAUUUGCCAGCAAAUGGACACUUAGAAAGCAAAACAGCAACAGCGCGGUUCGCUUUGUGGCCUUUUCGCAACUGUAACAAAUGUCAACAAAAAUGUCAUUAGCAAACAGCAAAUGUACCCAUCACACAAACACAGUUCUGCGCUCGUUUUGUUGCUUUCGAACUCAUUAGCAUUUCGCACUUCAUCGGCGGCACGCAUCAUUAGUCGUGUUGGGCACUACCAGUCGGUAGACAAUAGCAGCAACAGCAUUGACGUGCGCUGGUCAUCUUUCACCCAAUUACACAUUUCAUUUCAAUUCGAUUAGCAGCGCCAGUGACAGCUACCGGAUUCGUGGUGUUUUAGGCGGAUAUUGAAUUUACGAAGUGCUCUACAUACAAUUUGAAGCAACAGGCUGAAGCUUAGAAACAGUUAUACAAAUACUGCGCAAACUAUAAUGACAGCCAACAAACGUCAACACCAGAAUUAAUGAUGUCGAAUGUGGGACGGUUGCUUGUCUAUACGCAAGGGUGUGGACAUCGCACCGCUGUUUUGCUUUGGAGCGCUGGUAUGGCAUGUGAAAUAUUAAAAAAUUAACCAAGUGUGUUAAAAUAAAAGAAUUAUAGCCAAGUCAUGACCGGAUGCACUCACGUGGCAAUGCUUAACAAUUAAUUACAAAUGUCUCGAGAUGAAUGAAGUGGAUACAGAUAAAUGAAAUAAAAAGAAAAAACGAGUUUUGAAAACAGGUCACUGACGCCGAUGCUCAAUGCCCGCUGAUAGAGAAGCCCCGCUGCGACGUUCCUGGAAGAAUUGAGUGUACAUCCGCC